UGUGACUAUGAAAUUGAUCCUGGCAGCUGG
rnacentral:piRNA from 1 species